rnacentral:rRNA from 2 species
AGUUGCGAUCAUAGUAGCAUUCAUGCACCAGAUCCCAUCAAAACUCUGUAGUUAAGCGCGUUAGGACGAGAGUAGUACUAGGAUGGGUGACCUCGUGGGAAGUCCUCGUGUUGCACCCC